UACAUGGGGUGCAAACGUUGCUCGGAAUUAUUGGGCGUAAGCGCACGUAGGCGGUUCGUUAAGUCGGAUGUGAAAGCCCUCGGCUCAACUGAGGAAGUGCACCCGAAACUGGCGAGCUUGAGUACGAAAGAGGAUCGCGGAAUUCCUGGUGUAGAGGUGAAAUUCGUAGAUAUCAGGAGGAACACCGGUGGCGAAGGCGGCUUUCUGGACGACUUACUGACGCUGAGAACUCGAAAGCGUGGGGAGCAAACAGG
rnacentral:rRNA from 1 species